ensembl:lncRNA
CAACAAACAGAUCUCCUCAAGGUAAGUCUGUUGGCUGUGUUUUAAUGAAGACCAUCGCUGGACUUCAGGAUCUUCCUCCGUUCAGCUCAAGGUAAGGCGCUGGUUCUGUUUUUCUUUGGUUGGUUCCGGCCGGAAUGUUCGUAUUCCAGUCGGACGGUUUGUGCUUCCCGCCGGGAAGGUUCUGAGUGCGGUCACUUGAUUUAGUCCCAAUGGUUGGCAUAGAACGUUGUAGUCUUGACAACCAUAAGAAACCACCUGGCAGUUAGUUGGGCGGGAGUCCCCUGAGGGAAUCUGGCGGAACGUUCUGGAUUGUAUUUGCGUAACCUCGAGCCAUUGCCAACGGAAAAAAAUUUUUCAGUCGGUUUCCAUUGGGGAUUUGUUGCCCCUAUCUUAAACAACUUAAGUUUGAUAUUAAUUACAUACUGACACGUACGUCGUACAAUAUGUUGAUAAUUUCCGAUGGUUGCGUCGUACUUUUAACCACGAUGACGUUGCGGGACUCUCACUGCGUACAAAACAGCGUUCUACUUGCGGGCCCAUUUCUGACCAUCGGCGAAGGCUGAAAAUCAUUUCAAGGUGGAAGAUAAUUUGACAUUUCUUCAACGGAACCCAGCACCUGAAUAUGGCUGAGUAUAUUUGAUUUAAUAUCGAUACUGCUUAGUGUUCUUUGUUACUUCAGCUUUUGUACGUUCUAAAUAUCUGCUGUCAUUGAUUGCCACAGAAGUUAAACCCUACCCAUUGGAAUGACGUUAAACAACGACUUUGGUGCAGAGUUACCAACUGGAUAAUAUAAAAGCUAAAAUAAUGGCCGUCAUUCCCACAUGUUACAGUAGAAGAUACUCUAGAACUGUACAAGGUUAAAAAGGUAACAUGUAGUUGGUCCCAAGGUGUCUGCCUCCUCACCCAGAGCAAGACCUCCACCUCCUCACCCAGAGCCAGACCUCCACCUCCUCACCCAGAGCCAGACCUCCACCUCCUCACCCAGAGCCAGACCUCCACCUCCUGUCAGAAGUCCUCCAGAACAGCUGAAAGGCGAGGCUGGGGACCGGAGGCUUGUGGUGCCAGGGUGGACCGGAGACUGAGGCUGGAGACCAGGGGCCUGCAGCACCGGACCAGAGGACCAGGAAUCCAUGGCUGAAGGCGCUGAUGGAGGAGCCGUGAUGAAGGAGCUGAUGGAGGAGCCAUGCUGAAGGCCCUGGGCUGGUGGAGGAGCUGGUGGAGGGCCUGCCUGACCAGGACUCUGUCUGAGGAGAGCUGCUGGAGGAGCUGAGACGUGGGAGGACGACUAGGAAUCGACCAACAAGGAUUAACGUGUUUCUGGAAAGGAGGCAAGCUGGUAGGGGAGCCGUGAAUCUGGAAGAUGACCAUCACUCUACCAACAAGGAUUACCAGGACUCUGGCUGAGGAGAGCUGAUGGAGGAGCCAAGACUCGAGCCAAGAGGACUACAUCACUCCACCAACCAGGAUCCUCACCAGGAAUCUGGAGGACUGAUGGAGAAGCCGUACAUCUGGAAGGCAAAUCCUGAGGACCACCAGGACUCUACCAUCAAGGAUUCCUCAUAACUGUGCAUUAUCUGGACAUAGUGGACUAGACACAUCAGAGCAGAUCCUCACCUGAUCCUGUUUGGUCGGGGGUAGACACACCUGCGCUAAACCCGCCCUGAUCCUGACAUCCUGCUAGUCCCGUCUCCUCAGUUCAUCUGAGCCUCGUCCUCCAGAAGACCUGCUGAGCUCAGCAGUCUGAGGCUGAUGGAUCAAUGACCUCCAGUGGGAGUGAUCUUCUUGACCCCACAUGUAACUGUGUGCUUCCACACGCCUUUCCCUCACGUGUCACUAACCUCACUACUUCACUACUCUCUACUGCUUCCUCUUUUCUUCCUUCUCUGUGGUUCAAACCUUUACACUAAAGGCGUGUCUUCCUGCCCUCAGAGGGUUUAGCGUUAGGGUUGAGAGUCAGGGUUUAGAGUCAGGGACAGAGCUGGACAGGGAGGACUGCUUUUACACAAACCUCUUCACUUGCUUUCGGAAUGGUGGUGACAUUUUGAAACGAUUAAUUUGGGAAAAUGUUUUCCUCUGCUUUCCUUUACAAAAUUGUAUUAAACUUCUGUCAAGUGUUUUUGUUUAUAUAUUAAAAUCCCACAUUGACUUCUACAUGUUUGUUGCGGUUCAUUUAAUUGUCCUUUAACUUGGUUAAUGUCAAGCUAAACUCCUGCAAUACAUUUAAUUGUUAUUCUGCAAUGUUCACAUAAUCCAUUUUGUAAAAAUAUGAAACCUCCAUAUUACUACUAAAUUCAAG